rnacentral:misc_RNA from 1 species
AAGUCGUAACAAGGUUUCCGUAGGUGAACCUGCGGAAGGAUCAUUACCAAUAUUAGCGAACCUGGUCGCUUUUGACCAAGGUUUCGUGAAAUUUGUAUUUAAAACCCACGCUUUUUUAAAUAAUAAUUAUUGUAUCAGUUAUGAUAAAAAAAAGAUCACUUUCAACAACGGAUCUCUUGGCUCUC